rnacentral:sRNA from 1 species
UGAAGAUAAGAAGAAGAAGAAAAACAAAA